rnacentral:rRNA from 1 species
CCUACGGGGGGCUGCAGUGGGGAAUAUUGGACAAUGGGCGAAAGCCUGAUCCAGCCAUGCCGCGUGUGUGAAGAAGGCCUUCGGGUUGUAAAGCACUUUCAGUGGGGAAGAAAGCCUUGGGGCUAAUACCCUCGAGGAAGGACAUCACCCACAGAAGAAGCACCGGCUAACUCCGUGCCAGCAGCCGCGGUAAUACGGAGGGUGCGAGCGUUAAUCGGAAUUACUGGGCGUAAAGCGCGCGUAGGCGGUCUGAUAAGCCGGUUGUGAAAGCCCCGGGCUCAACCUGGGAACGGCAUCCGGAACUGUCUGGCUAGAGUGCAGGAGAGGAAGGUAGAAUUCCCGGUGUAGCGGUGAAAUGCGUAGAGAUCGGGAGGAAUACCAGUGGCGAAGGCGGCCUUCUGGACUGACACUGACGCUGAGGUGCGAAAGCGUGGGUAGCAAACAGGAUUAGAUACCCCAGUAGUC